UGUUUCGUAUACUGGUGUAAGGCUAUUGUGCCCCCUGUAGCUGAAACCAGGAUGUAAUUUUUGCCUGAACUGCAGCAUCACUGACAAAAUGUUUCCCUGCUAGAAACUAUUUCAAUUCGGUGGAGACCCAGCAGGGCGAUGUUUUGUCGAUAAUGACAUGUUUCAUGCAGAGGUGUUCUUGUUUUGGUCAAUGGGGGAACAUUGGCAUGAUAUCAGCAUACAAUACAGAUUUUGUUUUAUUUCCAAAAUAAUUCUGACAGGCGGCAUUCAAUUGAUUGUUCGAAGUAAAAAGCACUAAUUGACCAAUGAGGCUGUAUUACACUAUUCCUAUGGUUCACAUGUGGAAAAACUACCUGUGCAUCACUCUAUCCGACAAUAUCAACUUUUUCUUUCUGAUGUCCGUGCCUCAUUUAAAAUAAGUUGUAACUGUGGGCAAACCUCCUGAUACUGUAACAUUAGGGACCGGUAAGACCAACCUGCGUGCCCUCCAGUCUGUACAAGCUCAAGCUCUGCGAAUUUGUCUUGGCCUUCCCAGGCGUGCACCCACGGCAGCAACAAUAGCCGUCGCGCAUGACCACCCCAUCAAUACGUAUAUUCGCGUCGACUCUUUAAGGAUGCACAUCAGGCACUUCGCCCGACUUCUAUCGCAUAAUCUCGCCUCCCUUCCUGGGGCUCGACCUCGUUCAGCGUUUAGCAGAAUUAUUGCCGCCAACUAUGGAACUUUACUGUCAACCUUCACACCUGCCGCACAACCAUCUCUACCGCUGUGGUGCCUGCAUCCACUCCAGGUCCUUCUUGUCAUUCCCGGCAUCAAAUGAAAACGGAGAUGUCAUCUUUCGCCCUCCAACAAACCACGAUUUCAUUCCUACAUGACAAGCACAACGAACGCGCCCACGUUUACACAGACGGUUCUGUCUCCUCUAAACGUUCAGCAGGAGCAGUGGUAAUUCCCGCUCAAUCUCUCACCAUCAAAUUCAAGACGUCUCACAUUACAUCUUUGACGGCUGCAGAACUCGCAGCUGUCCGUGCUGCUCUGGAGUUUAUUGGUCCCAAAUCACCACAUUCAAGGUCCAUCACAUUCAAGGUCCAUAUUUUGUGAUUCAAAAGCAGCACUCCAGUGUCUGCUGUCCCUUUCAACCGUGGACCUAAUGUGCAGUUAGUCGCAGACAUCCGACUACUCCACCAUCAUGCAAGGGACACAUCAUUUACCACUGGAUACCGGGUCACUGCGGAAUUUCGGAAAAUCACUGCGGAUGACGCUGCCCGGCCGGCCCACGAUGUUGCCCAUAUUAUACCCAUACCACUGUCAAGAACAGAUGCAGCCGCAAGUCUUCGCUCCCUCGCACGCGAGCUUACGCCAACUUUGUGGAACACCAGUGAGUUCACCAACGCACGUCUUCACAGAUUGAAUCCACGUUUGCAACUCCUUUUUCCACGAGGGUUACCACGAGCGGAAGCAACACUUCUGUGCCGCCUAUGGCUCGGCGUGGCAUUCACGAACUCCUAUUCCUUCCGCGUUCGAAUUACCUGCGGCUGCGAGGAGACGAUCGCGCACUUCAUCUGUGACUGUCCACGUUACAAUGUGCCAAGAAAAGUGCUUGGGGCCGCGCUUGAAAAACUGAACAAUCGCCCCUUCACAUAAGAGAAAGUUCUAGGACACUGGUCCACACGGGUUUCGGCACUCAAGGCCUUAAGGGCUUUGCUGAAGUUUUUAAGGGCCUGUGAAUUGUGCCACCGCCUUUGACUGUUGUUGCGCGUAGCAUCACGUUACUGUGUGAAUUUUUCUCGGUUUAUUUCUCUCUCUUCUUCCUCCUUUUAUUCCCUUUACCCAUUUCUCCAGCACAGGGUAGCCAGCCAGUAUUUACACUGGUUAACAUCCGUCUUUCCUUCACUUUUUUUUUCUUUCUCUCACCUACUGGUUGCCUUGGUGCCUUGCCUCCCACUUCAAAUGCUGCCUCUGAAGCCAGCCUCGUUACGGUUUCGUUCAUUGCCCCUAUGUCGUCAUCAUCAUCAUCUAUCUGUUCUAAGACUGCAUAUUUGUUUGCAAGUACCAGCCUAAAUUUGUCUUCUUUUACCCUUACUGCCUCUAAGUUGACCUGUUUCUUCUUGACCAAUUUUACUCAUUCUUUGUUCAAAUUGACGUGAAUCCUAGCCUUCACUAACUUCUGAUCACUGCACUUUACCCUACUAAUCACUUCUACAUCCUGCACUAUGCAGCAUAGAGUUAGUAGAACAACUCUAGAGGAAAAGCUGGGCCGGAAAAGUGGGAACCUCUAGGGCGCCGCCCUGUUGCUACUGGUCAAUGUGGCCAGCGCAAUUACUAUUGAAAGAGCUGAAAACAAGUACAGGUCACCGUAUGCUUUGUCAUCUAAAAACGCAUACCUGAGGUUUUAUGAAGGUGGUGGGUUAAUAUUAAGUUUACAGAAAGCGAUCACUAAGUCCGUGACUUAUGUAAAUCACGAACUACGCAUUCAUUUAAUAAAGGAUGACGCGAAUUUCGGUUUCGAAUCUGGUUUUUGGAUGCGUAGUAGUUUCGUACAGUUUAGGUUUGACAUGCGAUCGCGCGUCGACAUCGGACGCUAUGGCACACUCGUGCCUUAUGUGCCACCGAAGCGCCGAAGUGCUCUGGCAUAUACCUUCACAUGUAAGUAAACGAAUGUAUCUCCUUGUUGAGAAUAUCACGCGAGUAAGCAGCUCUUGUGGUGCAUCACAAUCGUUUGAGAAGCGUCACAGUAGAGCAUUUUUCUACAUGCGGAGCGGCGUUUUUAUUUGCAGGUUUCCCUUUAGUAGGAAAUUGCUGGACAGGCGGACCAGCGCACCGGAAUUGUACUGGCGAAGCCACAAGCAACUCAAAGAAUCUGUUUAAUUGUUGCACUUUGAACAAUCAUGCUUCUACAAAGGCCACAGCAGAAAAACAGCCUGAUGCCGAGUACGUAUUUCUGUGCCACGAAGUAAUCAAGAGGCGAGUGCCUAAUGCGGACGAAAUCGAGUGCAUCGAGACUUAGAACGACAGAAAGCUGAGCUAGUUGGUAAGGAUUCAUUAUGCAAAACAGAGGUGAGGCGUGCAGACAGGACACAAGAGUAGAGAAGUGGGCGGCGCUCGUGUUGCAUGUUUGCUCGUAAAUACUCUAUUCUUGUGUCCUGUCUGAACGCCUCACCCCCGUUUUGCAUAACGAGUGUAUCAACCCACGUAUUAAUAGCGUAGGCGUUUUAUUAACUGUGCAAUAUUUUCAACACUUCCUUGCAUGCCAUUUCAUGUGGAAUAUCUUUUUUGGUCACAAAUUUGUGCAGCGAAUCUAUUUGCAUGAUCGACUUCGGCCCUGUAGGUCCGUUCACUUGCACUUGAUGCUGAGUCUUUUACAUGUAUCCAUAAACUGCAGAUAUGCACAUCAGAUCCCUGCGAGCAUUUUCAAAAUUCAGUUAUUUUAGACAACAGGCACAUAUGCAAUACUGACAUAAUCUCAAAUACCACUAAGCAGCUGGGACACAUUUUUGUUGACCAUACUCGCAGGUAAAAUAAGUAGAUUAUGUGGACAGCUCCAGCUCAUUUUCCUUAAAUCAGUGUGUACAAAAAUAAUUUUUUUCUCGCGCACAGAUUCUUUUGCUGUAUAAGCAAGAGAAGCCACCACGUUAGUGUAACGUAUCUUGUACAUCACACUAAUAAGUGCUUUAAUUUACCAAGUGAGAUGAGUUACUUUUAUGGAUCAUUCAGUCAUAUCACACUGCAAGCUGCAUUCAUCAAUCUUCAAUUGGAUUUCGCAUGAAACAUGUUUCCCUUUUAUGCAGUUAUGCAAUGGCAAGCCCUUCCGUGUGUUCCAAAGGUAAAAUUUAAGCUCGAAAUUAAAGAAGACAUUUCUAGUCAGAAACAAGCAAAAAUGGUGAAUGCAGAGUAUCGAAGCCCAAGGUACAGAAAUUAUGAGAAGUGUCGAAUGAUUUUAAGGAAAGAAUGGUAUUUGAAGAUGCAAGAUUCUUUAGUGGAAAUCAAGCAAGUCAGUAUAGGUAGAAUACUCUGAGAAAUUAUGCGAGUAAUGGGGUAGCAGACAAUGGGUCAGGAAAUGCGUUGUUUUUCUGAAAAACUAAAGCUGAUGACUGUCAUAUCAUGAGUCACUUUAGCAUCAUGAGACUGCUGUUUGAUAAAUUCAGAAACAAACCAAAAAGCAAGCCAUGCAAAAAUAAAAAAAAACUAUUUAAUGAUGCUCUCUCCACACUGGGAUAAAUAAUAAGAAACGGAUCACGUCUAAUGUGGACAUAUCAGACACCUUGUGAAACACUAAAGGAAAAAUUCAGUUUCGAGCUAUGGCACUUGCCGCAUAGAUGUGGGGGGCCUUGCACCAAUAGUAAUAGUUACCACUGCAUCUAGAAAUUUAAAGCAUUCAUGCCGAGAAGGAUGAUUCUUUAUAUUUUUGGCUACCACUUCAAAUGCCUCCACUAAGUGUUACAAUGCUGCACACAGCCUUACUAAGGAUCUCACAGCAACACUUGCAGGUAAACAGCAAAAGCAGUUAAAGUGCUGGUGUAUUCUGGACACUGUCUUUGAAAACUUUUAGGCAAGAACAGUGCGAGAAACAGACAUAAGAACUGCAUUUAUUUCUAUAAUUCCCCAUUUGAAUGGCCUUUUCUUUUUCCUUCGACAAUGCCUUCGCCUAGCCACAGCAGCUCCCUCAUACAGACUCCGCAAGCCAAGAGGCCGUGGAGGCAAAUGCAGACAGCCAGCACACCUCGAACAGCCACCUUGACUGCGGGUGUGUCACCCUAGUCGCCAAGGAAACAUUCGAGGGAAAGCGACAGGCAAUGUGAACAGUCACUUCUCCAUGUAAACGAUACUCUUUCUCUCGGAUGACUCCUACGUUCGCCUCGCCAGCACACUUGUGCACAAAGAUGCCGCGGAGGCACGUGCAGGUCAGAGGCAAGAAGCAGUGGCACUGGUGUCGACAUUCGCCCAAUUUCUUUUUCUUACACUGAGGCAGCCAGCACACCUCGAACAGCCACCUUAACUGCGGGUGUGUUAGUAGAUUCCUGUUGUACAUAUGCUCAUAAUAAACUUCAGUAAACUUGAACUUGAUAAUAAACUUGAAGGCUAAUGGGA